CUGGCCGCCUCACUCUCUCCCCUGCCCCUUCUCCCCGCUGGGUCUGAGCCCCUCUCCCCCGGGGCUCCCUGCCUGCCCGGCUUCUCCUCCCUCGCUGUCCAUCUUCUCCUCUUCCUCUCUCUUCCUCCCGCUCCCCUCAGUCUCCGCCUCGGCCUCCAGGUCUCUGCCAGUCCCCAGGAGCACUUUGACCUCUGCUCCCCCUCUCGAAUGCUGAAGACCAAGCCUCCCCCAUCCCACCACCCCACCAAAGGGGCCCCACCCAACCAGGACUCUCAACAGCUACCUCCCAGGACUCCUCUGAGCACUAUGGGCCUUUUGACACAGGAAGUCUCAACAGCAAGCGCUAAAGCUUUGCAAAGAUGCAGCUGUGGGGACGAAGGCUACGGGACCUUUAGAGAAGAGCAGUCCCCGAGGCCCCCAGGUCCCACUCCUCCCACCCCAGGGUCCUCACCCUCCACCCCCACUGGGUGGGAGGUUGGUUGGCCCAGGCCUCUCCAGGCCACUGUCCCUGCAGGUUAAUGAUCACAGGCCUUAUCAGAGCCUUUUGCCGUUUAUAAAUUUAUAAAACAAAAGAGAAAUAA